rnacentral:tRNA from 1 species
UGCUUUGAUAGUAUAAUUAAGUAUUCUGUCUUUCCAAGUCAGGGGUUCAGGAAUUGAUCGCAGCAG